rnacentral:ncRNA from 1 species
UGGUGUCUCAUGCCCUCUUGGCAUGGGAAUUAAAAGGGAAUCAGGUGCAAAUCCUGAACAGUACCCGCUGCUGUGAGUCCUCCAUCCAAGUCCCAACACACGAGGGACACACGUCGGUUCACACAUCAAGCCACUGGCCAACUCUACCUGACAACAGGCUACAUCAUGACCGGGAAGGCGUGAACACGACGGGGACGAGUCAGAAGACCUGCCCGAACAC